rnacentral:rRNA from 2 species
CCGCCUGGGGAGUACGGCCGCAAGGUUAAAACUCAAAUGAAUUGACGGGGGCCCGCACAAGCGGUGGAGCAUGUGGUUUAAUUCGAUGCAACGCGAAGAACCUUACCUGGUCUUGACAUCCACAGAACUUUCCAGAGAUGGAUUGGUGCCUUCGGGAACUGUGAGACAGGUGCUGCAUGGCUGUCGUCAGCUCGUGUUGUGAAAUGUUGGGUUAAGUCCCGCAACGAGCGCAACCCUUAUCCUUUGUUGCCAGCGGUUAGGCCGGGAACUCA